CAUGUGAAGCUCUGUAACAUGCUUUUAAGGGAAAACUGAGAGCGAGGUGGCUCAGUCUGCAUGUGAAGCUCUGUAACAUGCUUUUAAUUGUAAAAAGUAUUUUAUUUGUUUUUAUCCAAAUUUUAAUUUGGGAUAUUUUACUGUUUAUCCAAAUUUUAAUUGGGGAUAUUUUAUUGUUUUUACUGGAACAAACUGAGAGUGAGGUGGCUCAGUCUGCAUGUGAAGCUCUGUAACAUGCUUUUAAUUGUAUAUUUUAUUUGUUUUUAUCCAAAUUUUAAUUGGGGAUAUUUUACUGUUUUUAUCCAAAUUUUAAUUGGGGAUAUUUUAUUGUUUUUACUAGAACAAACUGAGAGUGAGGUGGCUCAGCCUGCAUGUGAAGCUCUGUAACAUGCUUUUAAUUGUAUAUUUUAUUUGUUUUUAUCCAAAUUUUAAUUGGGGAUAUUUUACUGUUUUUAUCCAAAUUUUAAUUGGGGAUAUUUUAUUGUUUUUACUGGAACAAACUGAGAGUGAGGUGGCUCAGCCUGCAUGUGAAGCUCUGUAACAUGCUUUUAAUUGUAAAGUAUUUUAUUUGUUUUUAUCCAAAUUUUAAUUGGGGAUAUUUUACUGUUUUUAUCCAAAUUUUAAUUGGGGAUAUUUUAUUGUUUUUACUGGAACAAACUGAGAGUGAGGUGGCUCAGCCUGCAUGUGAAGCUCUGUAACAUGCUUUUAAUUGUAUAUUAUUAUUUGUUUUUAUCCAAAUUUUAAUUGGGGAUAUUUUACUGUUUUUAUCCAAAUUUUAGUUGGGGAUAUUUUAUUGUUUUUACUGGAACAAACUGAGAGUGAGGUGGCUCAGCCUGCAUGUGAAGCUCUGUAACAUGCUUUUAAUUGUAAAAAGUAUUUUAUUUGUUUUUAUCCAAAUUUUAAUUGGGGAUAUUUUACUGUUUUUAUCCAAAUUUUAAUUGGGGAUAUUUUACUGUUUUUACUGAAACAAACUGAGAGUGAGGUGGCUCAGCCUGCAUGUGAAGCUCUGUAACAUGCUUUUAAUUGUAAAAAGUAUUUUAUUUGUUUUUAUCCAAAUUUUAAUUUGGGGAUAUUUUACUGUUUUUAUCCAAAUUUUAAUUGGGGAUAUUUUACUGUUUUUAUCCAAAUUUUAAUUGGGGAUAUUUUAUUGUUUUUACUGGAACAAACUGAGAAUGAGGUGGCUCAGCCUGCAUGUGAAGCUCUGUAACAUGCUUUUAAGGGGAAAAAGUAUUUUAUUUGUUUUUAUCCAAAUUUUAAUUGGGGAUAUUUUACUGUUUUUAUCCAAAUUUUAAUUGGGGAUAUUUUAUUGUUUUUACUGGAACAAACUGAGAGUGAGGUGGCUCAGCCUGCAUGUGAAGCUCUGUAACAUGCUUUUAAGGGGAAAAAAGUAUUUUAUUUGUUUUUAUCCAAAUUUUAAUUGGGGAUAUUUUACUGUUUUUUUUUCCAAAUUUUAAUUGGGGAUAUUUUAUUGUUUUUACUGGAACAAACUGAGAGUGAGGUGGCUCAGUCUGCAUGUGAAGCUCUGUAACAUGCUUUUAAGGGGAAAACGUAUUUUAUUUGUUUUUAUCCAAAUUUUAAUUGGGGAUAUUUUACUGUUUUUAUCCAAAUUUUAAUUGGGGAUAUUUUACUGUUUUUAUCCAAAUUUUAAUUGGGGAUAUUUUAUUGUUUUUACUGGAACAAACUGAGAGUGAGGUGGCUCAGUCUGCAUGUGAAGCUCUGUAACAUGCUUUUAAGGGGAAAAAAGUAUUUUAUUUGUUUUUAUCCAAAGUUUAAUUGGGGAUAUUUUACUGUUUUUAUCCAAAUUUUAAUUGGGGAUAUUUUACUGUUUUUACUGGAACAAACUGAGAGUGAGGUGGCUCAGUCUGCAUGUGAAGCUCUGUUACAUGCUGCUUAGUGGAAAAAAGUAUUUUAUUUGUUUUUAUCCAAAUUUUAAUUGGGGAUUUUUUACUGUUUUAUCCAAAUUUUAAUUGGGGAUUUUUUACUGGAACAAUCUGAGAGUGAGGUGGCUCAGUCUGCAUGUGAAGCUCUGUAACAUGCUUUUAAGGGGAAAAAAAGAAUUUUAUUUGUUUUUAUCCAAAUUUUAAUUGGGAAUAUUUUACUGUGUUUAUCCAAAUUUUAAUUGGGGAUAUUUUUCUGCAUUUAUCAAAAUUUUAAUCGGAUAUUUUACUGUUUUUAUCUAAAUUUUAAUUAAGGAUAUUUUACUGUUUUUAUCUAAAUUUUAAUUGGAGAUAUUUUACUGUUUUUAUCCUAAUUUAUAAGUUGAGGCAGGUCAUUUUAUGAUUAUUUGGGAAAUGAGGGACUUUUUAUUUACAUUAUUUUAUCCAUUUGGGUGUGGGGGACAAAGGGAAUAUUUUACUUUUUAAGACCAAAUUUUAAUUUAUACAGGAGACCUUUUUUUUUUUUAUCUUUUUUUAGUUAAAUGUUGAGCCCCCAAGUCAAAUCAAAGACUUAAAAACUGGUACUCCAAAAGGAAAAGAUAGGUGACCUACUGUGGGCAUUUGUCUUGGUGAACUAGCACCUUAAAGUCCAGCUAACCCACAGGCUGGCUGGCUAGUACAAGCAGACAGGUAUUUUUAAUACCAUUUGGCAUUUUUAAACUUUGGCAUUUUUCAUUUGGCUUUUUGUUUUAUGUGUUUUUGAACUAUUUGGAUUUAUACCAUUUGGCAAUUUUCAUUUAUGUUUUUUUUUCAUUUUUUUCAAUAUAUUUUGUAAUCAACACACCAAAAACACUUCAAAAUUAAGAGUGGGAUAUAUACUUUUUGGCCUCCAUAAUGUUUAUCAAUCAAAACAGCAUUCUAUUUUCAAAUGUACAUUACACAAUUUGGCUUUCUGUAACGUUGGCUGUUAAUCUUUUGUACGAAUGCUAUGAUGACCAUUAUGUGUAGAAAAUAAGACUACAUUUCUAAAAGUGGCUCAGGUUCAUAUAUUUAUGUUUGAUAUCAAUCAGUUCUAAAUUUCCUUCACAUUUCUAAAAUUUUAAGAUCUUCCAUAUCUGGUACAUCUUAUGAUAUCGUAUUCAUCUACUAACCCAAUUUUCUCAUAGGGACUUAACACGAAGCAGAAGGGGUAUUAGGUGGUAGGUGGUUAAGGGUGUUAUGAUAGGGUGAAAGGGUGAGAAAGGGAGGGAGAAAAAUAGAAUGAUGGAGAGGGUGAUUGUAUAUGAUUGUGAGUGGAAUAUAUAGAGGGAGUUAAUCUGUGAGAGAAUGUGAUUUCAUAAUAAGGGCAGGGUGUACUGGUCUGGAAGUAUAGUUUCUGUUUUGUCUCAUGUAGUUUCUGUUUUCUACAUCAAUCUGAUAAGUUUAAAUAUUGAGAAAUUGCUGUCGUCUAAAAGUUCACAGGUUAACAGCCUUU